ensembl:lncRNA TEX41 testis expressed 41
CACCGCAAGGACUGGAGAAGGGCACCCUUGGAAAUGCAAUGCUACAUCUCAAUGGGAUUUUCCAGUACAAAGAUUCUUUUCAAAUAACAUAAUUGUGGAUACACACCACUCCUACAGUGCUUUUAAUUUAAUUUUACUCACCUUACUUUGGCUCGAGACCCUCAGUCACCUCUGUUCAGGAGGCAGAGCAGUUCUUUACCAUCAAUUGUGAUAGGCACGGGGAACCAGGCUGAGAGAAUGAAGUGCCUCCUACAGCUACUUUGAAAAACACAAAGCAAAUUCGAGCGAUUUUCUUAUUUGAGUUCAAAAUGGGCUGUAAAGCAGUGGAGACAACUCGCAACAUCAACAAUCCAUUUGGCCCAGGAACUGCUAAUGAAUGUACAGUGGAGUGGUGGUUCAAGAAGUCUGGCAAAGGAGAUGAGAGCCUUGAAGAUGAGGAGUGUAGUGGCUGACCAUUGGAAAUUGACAACAACCAAUUAAGAGCGGUCAUCAAAGCUGAUCCUCUUACAAUGACACAAGAAGUUGCCAAAGAACUCAAUGUUGACCAUUCUUUGGUCAUUCAGCAUUUGAAGCAAAUUGGGAAGGUGAAAAAGCUUGAUGAGUGGGUGCCUCAUGAGCUGAGCGAAAAUUUUUUUAAAAAUCAUUGUUUUGAAGCGUUGUCUUCUCUUAUUCUACGCAACAACAGUGAACCAUUUCUCUAUCAGAUUGUGAUGUGCAAGGAAAAGUGGAUUUUAUAUGACAAUUGGUGAUGCCCAGCUCAGUGGUUGGACAGAGAAGAAACUCCAAAGCACUUCCCAAAACCAAACUUGCACCAAAAAAAGGUCAUGGUCACCAUUUGGUGGUCUGCUGCCGGUGUAAUCGACUACAGCUUUCUGAACCCCAGCAAAUCAUUACGUCUGAAAAGUAUGCUCAGCAAAUUGAUGAGAUGUACUGAAAAC